rnacentral:rRNA from 1 species
UGCCAGCAGCCGCGGUAAUACGAAGGGUGCUAGCGUUGUUCGGAAUCAUUGGGUUUAAAGGGUCCGUAGGCGGGAAUCUAAGUCAGUGGUGAAAUCUUGCAGCUCAACUGUAAAAUUGCCAUUGAUACUGGAUUUCUUGAAUUAGUGUGAAGUGGUUAGAAUGUGUAGUGUAGCGGUGAAAUGCAUAGAUAUUACACAGAAUACCAAUUGCGAAGGCAGAUCACUAACACUAUAUUGACGCUAAGGGACGAAAGCGUGGGGAGCGAACGGGAUUAGAUA